rnacentral:pre_miRNA from 1 species
UCUUAAGGGUAAGCAAAGAAAGUGAUUUCAAGAGAUGGAAUUUACUCCUGGUGAAGAUGCUGUGGA